rnacentral:rRNA from 1 species
AUGAACUAUCAGGCAGCCCCGUGGGGCGACGACAGCGCCGGCUAUCGUGCGUACGACGAUCUAUGGGACCGGUGUAGGCCCCUUUGCGGUUCGACUAUGGGGAUCCACACACACAAAGAGGAGAAUCAACAGACAACACAAAGCGUUUACCCAGGUUUGGGCCACUGUGAGGUGGAAAACCCUACUCGUGUGUUUGAGCUCAAGUACAAGGAGCGCAGCUUGCCGGCAAGGUGUGCGGGAAGUGCAGCUACGUGUGUAAAUGAGCAAAGUGGCGACCUUUGUAAAGGUAGCCACGGGCCUCCUUUUAUAGAUGAAGGGUCUCCACAAUGGCAAAAUAGUUAUUAUAUAAGGUAA